CCUGACCUUGUGAUCUGCCUGCCUUGGCCUUCCAAAGUGCUGGAAUUACAGGCAUAAGCCACUGUGCCCGGCCCGGAUUUUUUCCAGAGAAGUAAACCAGGGGGAAAUUUGGAAAAAGACACACAAACCCAGACACCAACAUCUGGAAACCUGGGAGAAAGCCAUGUGCAGACGAAGGCAGAAACUGGGGUAAUGCUUCUACAAGCUAAGGAACACCAAAUGCUCCUGCAAGCUAAGGAACGCCAAAGAUUGCCAGCAAACCACCAGAAGCUAGGGGAGAGGAAUGGCACAGAUUCUUCCUCACAGUCCACAGAAGGAACCAAACCUACCAACACCUUUAUAUGGGAUGUCUAGCCUCUAGAACUGUAAAAUAAUAAAUUUAUGUUUGGCAGUCCUGGGAAACUAAUACAAUCAGUAUUCCAGUUGGGAGGUAAUUUUGAUUUUAAAUUUUAUUAUUUAUUAUUUUAUUAUACCUUAUAUUAAGUAAUUGUCAUCAUCUUCAUUCCCAAAAAGUCUAUGAGAAACAAUAGUUUUUUUUGAUGCAGUCCUAAAUUAAGGUCAAGUGAGGAAAUUAGGAUCACUGAGCCUUCAGAAGUAGCAUUUUAACAAGCUUAAUCUUUUUUUUUUUUUUUUUUUACAGCCCAGAGGUCUUUUAUUUAUUUAUUAACACCUGUUAUGCCAUGAAUUCAUAGGGAAUAGGUUCCAGCAGCUCAGGCUCCUUCGCAUUGGUUCUCACAAAGUGUGCUUCUCUGGGUGGAGCAGGCUGGUGCUUCUGUUGAACCCAGGUACCUUUCUAUUUGGCUUCCUUCUUUUUCUGAUCAUUUUCCUUCAUGUGUUUCAGGAAACUAUCUCAGCUUUUAGAGUGCUUAAUGUGCUCAAUACGCACAUUAAUUCUCUUGGCAAGAAUCUUGCCCUUAACUUGUGUGUUUACAACAAUGCCAACAGCAUGCUGGGGGACAUUAUAGACUCUUCCAGUUUUGCCAUGGUAACACUUGUGGGGCAUUCCUUUUUGAACAGUACCCAUUCCCUUGAUGUCUACAAUAUCACCUUUCUUAUAGAUUUGCAUAUACGUGGCCAAAGCAACAACUCCAUGUUUUCUAAAAGGCCUAGAGAACAUAUAUUGGGUGCCUCUCCUCUUUCCCUUUGUGUUCGUCAUUUUGGCGAAUUACUGGAAGAUGGCGGUUCCGGCUGAAAGGAACAAGCUUAAUCUUAAUGGAUAUUUUUUCUUAUUUUGGCUGAUGAUUCAUUAUGUUGAGUAGUGACUUAUUACUAUUUGUACUAAAAAAUGCAAAGAUAUACAACGUCAAAUACAUUUUAUUCUCCCAUGGAACUCAUAUUUGAAGAUGUUAUGUUCAAUUAAUCUAUAAAUGAACACUUUAAGACAGUGUGCUAAUUUAAUGCAGUCCAGUUUCUUCAACAAGUAAAUGGCAAAAAAAGAGACAGAGAUACCUUAAUGGAAUGAAAUGUGUGGACUUUGUUUCCAUCUUGAUUUGAACCAGUCAUAAAGAAACAUGUAUGAGACAAUCAGGGAAUCUGAACACAGACUGGGUACUUGAAGAUAAGGAGUUAUUUGCAAUUAAAUGCAACAACGUCAUUUAGAGAUACAUACUAAAUUGUUUAUGAAUAAAAAAGACAUGAUCUCUGGAA